rnacentral:rRNA from 1 species
CCGUGAGAUAUUAUUCUUGUUUUUAUUUUUUAAUUAACCCCGGAAGGGGGACAGUUAUUGGUUGUUAGUUUAAUUGGGACGAUUGCCUUUAAAAUAGUAUCAAAGGUGCACACUGGUAGAGUUGUACGAAAUAUUUCGUUCAAAAGCGUAAAAGUAUUAUCUCUGCUAAACUGUUAGAUUGAUAAAUCAAGCAGAGACAAAAGUCGGCUUUAAUGAACCAAACGUUUAGAAUGAUAUAUUGUUUGAUCAUCAGAUAAAAGGUACCAUAGGGAUAACAGAAUAAUGUAAAUCAAGUGAUCUUAACGACAUUUACGUUUAUCACCUCGAUGUCGACUUGCUAUAUCCUAGUGCGGAAGUUUGUACUAAGGGUUUGACUGUUCGUCAAAUAAAAUAGCACACGAGUUGGGUUUAAAACGGCGUAAGCCAGUUUUGUUUCUAUCUGAAUUGCGAAGUAAAAAUAAGACUUUAAUUUUAGUAUGAGAAGACCAAAAAAAAAGAGCCAAUGGUAUAAAAUUAUUUGUUUAAAAUAUUGUUUUGUCGCUACGCUUUUGAGAAUAACAAUUGACAGAAUCUAUAUUGGAAAUCUCGCUUAUUUUUUACAAUUAUACGAAGUUUUUCACUUUAAUUUUUCUUGGUAAAAGAUCAUUACUUUAAUCGGUGAUAAAUUUUAUGUUUGUAAAA